rnacentral:rRNA from 1 species
ACUGCGAGUGAAGCGGCAAAAGCUCAAAUUUGAAAUCUGGUACCUUUGGGUGCCCGAGUUGUAAUUUGGAGAGGCAACUUCGGAGGAGGCGCUGGCCUAAGUUCCUUGGAACAGGACGUCACAGAGGGUGAGAAUCCCGUGCUUGGCUGGCUGUCCUCCUUCAUGUGAAGUGUCUUCGACGAGUCGAGUUGUUUGGGAAUGCAGCUCAAAAUGGGUGGUAAACUCCAUCUAAGGCUAAAUACUGGCGAGAGACCGAUAGCGCACAAGUAGAGUGAUCGAAAGAUGAAAAGCACUUUGAAAAGAGAGUUAAACAGUACGUGAAAUUGUUGAAAGGGAAGCGCUUGAGACCAGACUCGGUGAUAGGUGAUCAGCGGUGGCUUCUGCUCCGUGCACUUGCCUGUUACUGGGCCAGCAUCAGUUGCGACGGCGGGAUAAAGCCCUGAGGAAUGUGGCUCUCUUCGGGGAGUGUUAUAGCCUUGGGGGCAAUGCCGCCUGUCACGACUGAGGACCGCGCUUCGGCUAGGAUGCUGGCAUAAUGGUCUUCAGCGACCCGUCUUGAAACACGGACCAAGGAGUCUAACAUCUAUGCGAGUGUUCGGGUGUAAAACCCCUACGCGUAAUGAAAGUGAACGGAGGUGGGAACUCUCUGGAGUGCACCAUCGACCGAUCCUGAUGUCUUCGGAUGGAUUUGAGUAGGAGCAUAGCUGUUGGGACCCGAAAGAUGGUGAACUAUGCCUGAAUAGGGUGAAGCCAGAGGAAACUCUGGUGGAGGCUCGCAGCGGUUCUGACGUGCAAAUCGAUCGUCAAA